rnacentral:rRNA from 1 species
UGGGGAAUUUUGGACAAUGGGCGAAAGCCUGAUCCAGCAAUGCCGCGUGUGUGAAGAAGGCCUUCGGGUUGUAAAGCACUUUUGUCCGGAAAGAAAUCCUUGGCUCUAAUACAGCCGGGGGAUGACGGUACCGGAAGAAUAAGCACCGGCUAACUACGUGCCAGCAGCCGCGGUAAUACGUAGGGUGCAAGCGUUAAUCGGAAUUACUGGGCGUAAAGCGUGCGCAGGCGGUUUGCUAAGACCGAUGUGAAAUCCCGGGCUCAACCUGGGAACUGCAUUGGUGACUGGCAGGCUAGAGUAUGGCAGAGGGGGGUAGAAUUCCACGUGUAGCAGUGAAAUGCGUAGAGAUGUGGAGGAAUACCGAUGGCGAAGGCAGCCCCCUGGGCCAAUACUGACGCUCAUGCACGAAAGCGUGGGGAGCAAACAGGAUUAGAUACCCUGGUAGUCCACGCCCUAAACGAUGUCAACUAGUUGUUGGGGAUUCAUUUCCUAGUAACGUAGCUAACGCGUGAAGUUGACCGCCUGGGGAGUACGGUCGCAAGAUUAAAACUCAAAGGAAUUGACGGGGUCAUAGCUGUUUCCU